CCCCCCAGUAUAUAGUUGUAUAUUCUUCGUUGUGGGUCCUUCUAGUUGUGGUAUGUGGGAUGCCGCCUCAGCGUGGUUUGAUGAGCAGUGCCAUGUCUGCACCCAGGAUUCGAACCAAUGAAACACUGGGCCAUCUGCAGCGGAGCGCACAAACUUAACCACUCAGCCACGCGGCUAGCCCCUUGGACAGAUUGCAUCACUGAGAGCUGGAAUCAUUCCUGUGGAGCCCCUUGGCCUGUUGCUCCUCCAUGAGAGGGGUCUCUGUUGGAGUGAGAGACUGCAAUCCAUCAUCCACCAGUGGAGGGAAGCAAAAGACAGAAAAGGCAAGAAGGAAGGCAGAAAGAAAAGAGGGCCCACCGAAAUGAUGUGGUCUACACCGGUAUCUCAGGAUGGAGAAGCUCAGCAAGCCUUACAAAAGAAUGAUCCACACUCACUGUUUUCACCUCCUCCUCUCCCAUUCCCUCCCGCCACACCUCUGGGACCACCUUUCCCAGGGUUACUGAAGGCUCCCUUUGUACAGAAUCCAAUGGACACUUUUAAGUCCUUAUUUCCUGGGUCUCUCUUGGGAGUUGCCACCACUCCUCCUUGGAACUGUUCUCUUGGCUCCUGAAAUUCUUCCACUCUGCUUCUCCUUUCUGGUAUCGGAACUUUUGUUCCUCUUCAUGAAUUCUUCCUCCACCCACCCCCUAAAAGUUGCUGCCCAGGGAUUUUCCUCAGAUCAUUGUCCUUCCCUGUCUUGCCCAGGCAGCCUCAACCUGUCUCAGACUUUAACUACUACCUCUAUGUGGGUAACUUACAAAUCUUUAUGGUUAGCACUGACUUCCCCUCUGAGUGCCCAGAAACUAUAUAUAACUGAAUGCUAUACAUCUCAACUUGGAAAUCCCACAGAUACCUCAAAAUUAACAUUUUCAAAGCUAAUCUCAUUAUUUUCACUCCACUUAAUCCCCCACCCCCUGGGUUCUAUGAAAUAAACCCUGGGAUACUCCUCCCUGUAUUCCAUGUAUGAGUUCAUGGCAUUGGCAUCCAGUCCAAAACCCAAACUAGAAUCUGGGGGUCCUCUUAGACUCCUCUGUCUCCCUUAUCCUUCCUUUUGACAUUGUGUGUCCAAAUAUUAAUCCUGCUGGCAUUUGCUUCCUAAAUGUUUCUUCUCUACUAUAAUAGUUUAGAACAAACUAUAUUUCUUCUGGACCAUAACCCCUUAACUGCCUCUGGACAAGGUCCUGCUUAAAAUCAUAAUCCACCUAGAGCUAGAGUGAUAAAUCCAAAUUUGCUCUGUCAUUCUCUUUCUUAAAAAACUCAAAUGACUUCCUCUUACCCAUGAGCCUCAAGGUUCUCCUUGAAUUGACCCCUAUCUAUUUCUCCAGCCACCCUCUAACUUACACUUCAAUUCCUACAACUCACCAUGCUAAUUCUCUUUCCGUGUCCUGGAUCAUGGUGAGAAUGCCCUGCCCACCCCACUUUACCUAAAAACUGUUACUCAGCCUUUAAGAUAUAACUAAGAUGUUGUCAUCUCCAAGAAUCCUCCUCUGAACCUUUAUGGUGGGUUGUGGCUCCUUGUCAUCAUGCUCUGUGACCAUGUGUCCUAGGGAAUAAUCUGGAAGGCUAGCAGUCUCCUAAGACAUUCCCUUGGUGAAUUUACCAGUCCAGGGUCUGGUACUCAACCUGGCAGUUUCAGAACCUGAACUCAUCAGCAUAUUGAGAACAGACCCAUCUCUUAGGGGCAGGCUCAAAUUCACUAACUUCUUGAAAAAUGUAUAAAGUCAGAAUACCAACAGAUUAACUACAAUAAGAACUAUAACUUUCCAAAGGACCGUAAUACUGGAGUGUGAGAAACCAGUGCAUUCUUUCCUUACAAAGAGACCUACCUAUGGAGAUGCCUGAGAAUCAGAACCACUGAAACUAGAUAAAUCCAACAACUCAUGGAAUCAGACCAAAUAAUUUGAUGCCUCUCUCUCUACGUCAGGAAUGAGCUUGCCAAUGGGAUCAUAGUGUUAGAAGUCAGUUAACUUAUGGUCCCUGUUCCCAGGCCAAGCCAGGAAAGUCACUGCCAAUGCUAGCCUCUGGAAUCCCCUUUCACUUCCCUGGCUGACCAAGCUUCCCUGGCUCCUGAUCUGGGUGCUUCUCUCUCAUUAAUCCUUUGGUGAAGUUACUGAAGAGGCCUGUAGCAAAGGCCAUCCUUGUGGUUUAUGCUUUGAUCCUUUAAAUGUGGAUUUCAUAGUUUAAGAACUCAACUGUAUUUCCAGGUUAUGAUGGAGGCCUCUGUGUAGCAGCCAAAUAGAAACUAGAAACUUGAGCAUUUAUCAGUCAUUAUCAGAAGCAGGGGGCCAGGGCCUUGCAAGGGAAGCAGGGUGAGGGGGUAGGGGGUUGGCAAGAGGUUUAAGAAGUGAUUCCCCUCCUCCACCUCCAACCUAGCACACUUUGCAAAAGCAGCAGCCUUUUAAACAAUUUUUUAGAGUUAGAAGUUGCCACCGCCAUUGUUAACAUUGUGGUGAGAAGACAACAAAGGAAGUGAUGGAACCUCAGUGGUCAGACCUUGAGACCUGUAGAGAAGGAAGGCAAAGGGUAGACUGGUUUUCCUGUGCUUUCACACCUUCAGCCCCAUCCCACCAUCAACCUAGAGUAGUGGUUCUUAGGUACAGUGCCAGAACCAGUAGCAUCAGCGUCACCUGGAAACUUGUUAGAAAUGCAGAUUCUCAGGUACCACCCCAGACCUAGUGAAUCAGAAACUCUAGGAGUGUGGCCCAGUAAUCUGUGUUUUAACAUCCCCUCAGGGUGAGUGUGAUAUGCCGUAAAAUUUAAGAAUUGACCCAUGGCACUCCCCAAGCACACAUCCCCACCCACGUGCAGGCAGACCUGUUUUCUGGAUAGAUUCUCCCCGAUGUUAGGAGGUGGCUUUACCUGGGUCAGCCUCAGGGACCUUGUUUUAUUUAUAUUUGUAUUCUCUGGGUCUAACACAUCAAAGUUGUUUAAUAUGUGGCUAAGGAACUAAACUGAAUUGCAUUUUUCAUAUAUGUUGGGAUAAGUUCAUUUAUUCUGUCCUUAGGUCUCUACCAUUUGGCAAUAUCCAAGAUCACCUCUCUUUCACACCACUUCUUUCCUUUCCUCAGGGGUUCUUUGCCCCUUUCCCCAUCUCCCUAAUUCUAAUGUACAGAGCUCUCAAAGGUCCUGUGGUGCACAGCCU
ensembl:lncRNA